CCCCGGUGGGCCGGGCCUGGGUCCGUGCCGCCGGUGCCGGUGCGGUCUGGGUCCGGCGGCUCUACACCGCCCCCGGCGG
rnacentral:tRNA from 1 species